rnacentral:lncRNA from 1 species
GCGUUCGUUCUUUCCCUUGCACCCGACGCCGGCGACCUUGCUGCGCUCCUCCAAUUCGCGUCCCUCGCUCCGUUUCCAAGCCGUUCGAGUGCACCAGCAGCUCCGCCUCGAACCAAGCCACCGAUUUCGCCCCUUGGUGCAAGCUCUAACCAUUUCUAGCCCCGGCUACGUCCGUUCUUCCUCCACUCCGGCCAAAAACGCCGCCGAGGAGCACCUCAACGUGGCCAGGCCACCUCGAGCCAUUGCGGGACAAGUUACGGCCACCAGCAGGUGCGCACUAGUCCGGGAAAGCUUCCCCGCUGCUCCAAUGCCGCCGACGAGCAUUCCAACGCCGAAACCACGAUCUCCGGCGAGUUCCCUGUUUCCAGUUCGCGACCAGGGACUUCGGGCGACAAUUUGAUGUUCUCCAGGGGUCUAAUUGCACAGGCUGUGACUCAGGUGAAUAGUGCUAUAAGGACUUGUUUGUAGAUGUUUUGUUGAAUCUUUGAAAAUUCAUAUCUGGAGUUUGGUAACUCCAAUUUUGGUGAACCAAAUUUUGUUGUGCUCCUUAGGAUGUCUAGUUUUUAUUAAAAAUAUUAAACUGACCAUGUUUUAUAGUAAAAUAAUUAGUUAUGAAUUAUGUCUUUUAAUUAUGCUUAAAAGGAGGAAAUUCAUAUCUUUUGCUGUAUAGCUUAUUUUAAUAUGAAACUUUUAUGGUAGACUAAUGAUUAUGUGUGCGUGCUGUGUUUAAGUUUUUAGAUUCAUUGGAUGACAUAUGAUUAAGUUAUUAAUUUAUCUUGUUUAGUGCUUAUUAAAUAGUUUACAAUUAAACUAAAAAUAAAUAAAUGUAAAAUAUAGUUCCUAUGCCUUUAUAUGAGGUUGUUAUAUCAUAUAGAUACAUAAUUUAGCUAUGUGUUUGUAGAAAAUGUUGAGUUUCUUAUUUAUCUUGUUGUUACAUGCUUUCUUGUGAUGGAAAUUUAUCUUUUUCGUGGAAAUUGCUAUACUUAUCCAAAUGGCAUGAAAUUUAUACAGUAGACUUUGGAGAGCAUAUAUGAGCUUCUGUAGUUUUCUUAGAAUUUACUGUGUACUUUUGAUAUAUGGUUAUUACUUUGUCUAUUUAUCUAAAUUAAUUAAUAAAGACAUAAAAGGAAUUUAUUUAGAGAUGAUCAUGAUGUUUUCUAGUAUCUCUUUGAUGUAUUUUAACUGUUAUUGAGCUGGGUUUUGCCCAGGUCCAAGUUUGGAACAUAAAUGAAAUGUUAUUUGUCUUUAAUUAAAUUAUUAGUGAUUUCUAGAUAGUUUCUGGAACUUUAUGAAUUGCUCUAGGUAGAUAAUGUUGGAUGUGAAACUUGUCUAUAACAAAGUUGUAUAUAAUUCAUGUAUCUACCUGGUGUUAAAUUUUAGUGACAUUUGGCCCUAUAUUUUCUGAGUUAUGCCUGUUUAAAUUUAAGUUUCAGAAAUGGUUCCUUUUUGUCAAAUCCUAGAUCAGUUUCUGUAGUUGUGCAAUUUCGACCUACUAAAGUUAUGAAUCAUGCUUUCAUGAUAAAAGAUGAAUUGUAGUAAUUUUCAUAAGCUUUCUAAAAUGUUAUGGAUCAUGAAUUGUGGUGAUCUAGAACUCUGGUUAUAGAUGUAUAAAUCUUAAUAUCUGAUUCUGUCCAAGGUCUGGACAGAAUUGUUUAUUCAUUCUGUUUGGCCAUUUUAUCUAUUAAAUCAGUUCUCGAAGAUAAUAACAAAGUUGUAGAAAAUUAUCUAAGUUUUCCAAAAAGUCUAAUAUCACCUUUAUUGGAUGCUUGGAUCUUUAAUUAUGGUUGAAUAAAGUUGUGUAUAUGCUGCUGUCCUGGUUAUGUGUGCAAAUAGAGUUGUUUGUUUUUAGCUAGCCUUUACUUAAAUAAUGAGUAGCUUAAUUUCCAAAUUAGAAUUUAAGUGCUUUUGGGAUUAUAUGAUGACCUAAGGUCAUUAAUGUUAAUGACCUUUGGCACUUAAUUAUUGUUUGAUGUUAAUACUUAAUUACUGCCAUUAAUAUUUAAUUAAGAAUUGAUUAAGAUAAAUAGAAAACCUAAUCAUUUUAGGUUUUGAUUGAUCUUUGGGAUUGAUUGACAACCAGUGGUUACUUGGUAUGAUAUGCUCCCUGGUUAAGGAUUCUUUCAUGUAAAUGAUCUUUGUUGCUUAAUAACUACACAACAUUGCUUAAUGAAGAUGAUAAAAAUUUGUUUAGUAGUAAUCUAUGCUUUGAUAACUAAGUUAGUUUGUUUCUAUACCGUGAAGGUGAGUUGUACUCGAGGUAGUUUUGUUUGUUGUUAUCAUCCAAGAACUUGUAACCUGUCUUUAUCAUGUCAUGAGCAUCUCAUUGAUCAUGCAUAUGCACUUCUACGUGUAGACUACGCUCCGGAGGAAUCUGAUCCUCAGUGGGUUGCUUCUGAGUUUGUGGAUCCAUCUGGUUUUGCUGAGUUGUCGGACUUCCCUUCCGGCCAAGGCAAGCCCCGGACAUUAAACCCUAUCCUUGUAUUUUCAUAAAGUUAUUUAUAUCACUUGAGUUAAUAUGAUGCAUUAGGUGAAUAGGAGUUGAGUGAAUCCUAUUUGCUGCAUUAUCUACCUUGAUGAUUUCAAUAUUAACCUUGAUACUUGCUUUAUGAAAAUGCUUAGUAUGCUUAGCCCUGCUUAUUAGAUAGGUUUUCAACUGAGAAAGUUUGAAGGGUUGUUGUGGAAUACUUUUAUGGUCAUUAAUGUUUCAACUUGAGACCGGUCGGUGGACUUGCUUUAAGAAUGGAGUCUUAAAGUAGUGUCUCCAACUGUGUCGAUUAAGGACCGUUCCGUUGUUGGCCUGUUGUGAUUGAGACCUUUGAGUACAGCCCACAUGCGCUGGUAAGCCUUACCUAUAGCUAUUCCGAUACUUGAGAACGGCUAACCGCGUACUGGGAGUGGAGAGAUGGCGAGAGUAGCGUGUACCCACCUUACGGAUCUGAGAUGACCGGGAAACAUCUAGAUUGGCUGUAGGAUGGUGGUGUACUGUACUCUCGGGUGACGCUGGACCCGUUCUUGUAUGGGAGGAUCUAUAGAAAAGGUUGACAUAUGCAAGAUUAAGUUCUACAUAUGUCGUGUGGUACUGAAUCCCCAGCUGGGUUUAAUCGAUUCGAAUCGCCGUGUUUCCUCGGAUAUGGAGCCUCAAUCCUCGUACCAUCAUCGUAGUAAUAAAUGGAUCUUUGGUAAGAGAAAGAGGUGGUAUGCUUAUGAAAGUUUGAUAAUAGUUUUGAUUAGUCAUAAAUGAUGAUCUUGAGUUAAAACUUGAAAGUAGGUUUUACUCUUAGUAAGCUUUUAUGCAAAAGAAAUGCUUCGAUCUUGCUAAAGCUUUACCUUGAAUCCCUAUAGCCUACAUACCUGAGUCUUCACCUCUUUUCUAGUCGGUUAAGUCUUGUUGAGUACUUUUGUACUCAGGGUUUUAUAACCCCUGUUGCAGGUGCUGACUUAGACUGCUAAUGGAGGUCAUGUCGGUGGGCGCGACAUGAUUUAUCCACCUCUUCUACCUUAGAAGCUUCACUUAAGAUGCUUCCGCUACUCUAUACACCUUUUGGAAAUUUAGUUAAGUUUAUACUUCAUCAUAUGUUGUAAAUUAAGUUAUAAAUCUUCCGCACUCUGAUCUAAGUUAUUUUUGUAACAAAUGUUGUAAUGUUGUGGUAACUCCAUGUUGAUCCUGUAUGAGUUAAAAUGUGGAUGAUUCGCGGUCCUCCGAGGGCACCCGACAGACUUCUUGAGUCAUUUGGAACUCGUGCACGCCGAUCAGAAGUCUUUGAGACAAUGAUGGGUGCAUGUGGGCCAAUUUAUUCAGGAGGUUCUGCCACAAUAAAUUACACUGAAAAAUCAAUAUAAAUAUAGUAAUAAGAUGGUGUAAAUAUAUCUAUAAAAAGUGUAAGUGUAUGGAAAAAAUUUGGUCGACGGAAAAGGCUAAAACAACUAAUUGUUGGGUAGACAUCUCCAACGUUAAACCAUAGUACCAUACCCAUGCAUGUCCCAUAGAUUCUACUCCGUAGUAAACAAAAUAUUUGGUGUAUCAAGUUUUGAGAACGUGGACAUGCUCUCUGGCCUGGGUCUCUCCAAAUAAGACGGUGUAAAUAUAUGCAAAACAUAGCAAUACGAUGAAUGCUCUGUGGCCUGGGUCGUCUGGACCGACGCCAACAGGCAUGCAAAUGCAAUAGGGACAGGACACGUGAGCAACGAAGAGAGAGAGAGAGUGUGUGUGUGAGAGAUGCUGUCCUGUUCUUAGCGCCGACAGUCGAGUGGACGGUCCACGCAGUACCAACUCAAUCGAGGAUCGGGCCCGGCCGACAGCUAGGAUAUGAUACUGGUGAUGCGUGAUGUUCCACAGAUUGUUUUUUCUAAUGACGAAUAAUAUAAAUUAGAGGUUGGUGCACUUAUCUUAUCUUAUGGGUACAUAAACAAGUCUAAAUAGAUGGUGCAAAUAUGGUAAAAUUUUAAUUAAAUUCACUCGGUCGCCUCUAAUUUUAAGAAUUUUAAAGAGUCAAAGCAUCUUAAAUUUGACCAAAUUUAUAUGGUAAGAUAAGAUAAUAACAUUUAUGAUAUCAACUAAGUACCAUUAGAUUCUUCAUUAGUUAUAUUUUUAUAAUAUAUCUAUUUGAUGCCACGAAACUUUGUAAUUUUUUCUAUAAUUUUGGUCUAACUUGAUGAGAUGUUUUGGCUCUCCAAAUUUUUUGAAAUGAUUUAUAAUUUGAGAUGGAUUUACUCUUUGAAUAAAUUUCCGUGUUAGAGAUCAGACUUGAUGAGCCGAAGAUUACACGAGGUGCCAGCAGCGUGCGUGGACGAGACGGCAUCCUGGCGUGUGCAUGUGUCAUCCCGUUGCACGUACGGGUAUCGGUCCGGCCGUUUCGUAUCAUCAUCACCCAGCAGCUAUCAGAUACACACUUUACUCUACUCUGCCCCUGCCGUUGUACAUUUUGUUUGUUGUUUUUUUAUAGUAUAUUUGCAGUAGGAGCCUCUGGCUCCUCAUGAUUCUUAAAAAAAAAAACUAUCAGAUACACCGGCCGACAUUGGCAAAAACACACACACCGCCUUAUCAUUCCUUUCCUUGCUUGCGUUCCGUACCGUCGGUUUCCUCUGUUAUGGUGUAAUCUUGACAGUUAGUUAG